CCUACGGGGGGCAGCAGUGGGGAAUAUUGCACAAUGGGCGCAAGCCUGAUGCAGCCAUGCCGCGUGUAUGAAGAAGGCCUUCGGGUUGUAAAGUACUUUCAGCGGGGAGGAAGGCGAUAAGGUAAUAACCUUGUCGAUUGACGUUACCCGCAGAAGAAGCACCGGCUAACUCCGUGCCAGCAGCCGCGGUAAUACGGAGGGUGCAAGCGUUAAUCGGAAUUACUGGGCGUAAAGCGCACGCAGGCGGUCUGUCAAGUCGGAUGUGAAAUCCCCGGGCUCAACCUGGGAACUGCAUUCGAAACUGGCAGGCUGGAGUCUUGUAGAGGGGGGUAGAAUUCCAGGUGUAGCGGUGAAAUGCGUAGAGAUCUGGAGGAAUACCGGUGGCGAAGGCGGCCCCCUGGACAAAGACUGACGCUCAGGUGCGAAAGCGUGGGGAGCAAACAGGAUUAGAUACCCUCGUAGUC
rnacentral:rRNA from 1 species